UACGAAGGGGGCUAGCGUUGCUCGGAAUCACUGGGCGUAAAGCGCACGUAGGCGGAUUGUUAAGUCAGGGGUGAAAUCCUGGAGCUCAACUCCAGAACUGCCUUUGAUACUGGCGAUCUCGAGUCCGGGAGAGGUGAGUGGAACUGCGAGUGUAGAGGUGAAAUUCGUAGAUAUUCGCAAGAACACCAGCGGCGAAGGCGCUGCUCUGGGCCGGUACUGACGCUGAGGAGCGAAAGCGUGGGGAGCGAACAGG
rnacentral:rRNA from 1 species